AUUGAACGCUGGCGGCAGGCCUAACACAUGCAAGUCGAGCGGAUGAGAGGAGCUUGCUUCUCGAUUCAGCGGCGGACGGGUGAGUAAUGCCUAGGAAUCUGCCUGGUAGUGGGGGACAACGUUUCGAAAGGAACGCUAAUACCGCAUACGUCCUACGGGAGAAAGCAGGGGACCUUCGGGCCUUGCGCUAUCAGAUGGGCCUAGGUCGGAUUAGCUAGUUGGUGAGGUAAUGGCUCACCAAGGCGACGAUCCGUAACUGGUCUGAGAGGAUGAUCAGUCACACUGGAACUGAGACACGGUCUAGACUCCUACGGGAGGCAGCAGUGGGGAAUAUUGGACAAUGGGCGAAAGCCUGAUCCAGCCAUGCCGCGUGUGUGAAGAAGGUCUUCGGAUUGUAAAGCACUUUAAGUUGGGAGGAAGGGUUGUAGAUUAAUACUCUGCAAUUUUGACGUUACCGACAGAAUAAGCACCGGCUAACUCUGUGCCAGCAGCCGCGGUAAGAC
rnacentral:rRNA from 1 species